AAUAUAUAUUUUCAUAACAUAGUUUAGAAUUUAUAAAAUAACUAACACCAAUAUUAAUAGUUAUCACCACCAGUCGCGGGUUGGGCUGAUUCAAAAUAUGACACAAUUAUUUAAGAUAAUAUAUUCUAUAAAAUUCACAAUGGUGGAGAUCUUUUCAAAUAUGGUCUCAUUAAAGUUUUAUAAUAAUAAAUAAUAUGUAAAAUUUGUAUAAUUAAAAAAAUCAUUGUAAUUUUCAAAAAUAAGUCAAUAUCUAAUUAUUCUAAAAAAAUCGAAACAUUUUUAUAUUGUUUUAUAAUUUUACAUAUAAAACACAUUUACAUAAUAUGAUACAUAAUCUUAAGGACAUCAAAUAAUCUUUAAAAAACAUGAUGAAAGGGAAAGUUUAGAUUAUUUAGUAUAUAAUCCAUGACAAUAAUGAUUUUUAUUUGAAUAUAAACAGAAUGUUUUGGUAAACUAAUACUAUACCAUAUUUACACCAUUAUUAACUGCAGAAUUUUUAUUGUAAAAUAACUAAAAAGACAUGAUUUGGUGUUUAUACCUCUUAUAGGAAAUAAUAUAUUAUGGAUAUUGACAAAGUUAUUGAUGAGAAAUGUUUGUCUUAUUGAUUUUGAAGAUGAGUUGAGCAAUAAUGCAAAAUAUAUUACUGACAUUGUUGUCGUGUUGUAUCUUGGCAAAUGGUAGUUUAGGCUACUAUUUGUUUAAAUGAUUUUCAUGUAAAACAUAUAUUUUUGGUAACCAAUAUAUAAUAUAAUGGCCGUCUCGGUGCAAGUUCUAAUUAGAUACAUAAUUUGAAAAUCUUAUGUCAUAUUAUAUUCUAUAUUAAAAUAUUCCAUACAAUAUUUUGACUAUUAUAUAUAUAUCUUUGUUAAGGAAAUCUAUGUUUUUCCUAUAAUAUAUAUAUAUAUAUAUUCUGAAGUAAAUCUAUAUUUUUCAUAGAACUAAGAAUAUAUUUUUAUUUAUUUAUGAAUCUAUAAAAUAUUUUUUUGAGAAAAUAAGAACUGUUAUACAAACUAUUACUUAUAAUAUUAUUUCACUUCUGUAAAUGUAUGCAUGAAUUUCAUUAUAUCUAUAUAUUACCCAUUAAGAAUUGAAGAAUAUUUUUUUUAACUAUAUGAAAUUAGUAAAUAAAGUUGUAGUUGCUAAUUACUUUUGGCCACAUAUUUAAAUUUUCAAAAUUAGACACACACACACACACAUAUAUAUAUUUCAUUAAUUGGUAAUUUUAUGUGGUGAUAUAUCCUAUCAGAACUAAAAUGAUAAUUUGGAACAACUAUUCAACAUAAAUGUUUUGGAAUAUAACGAAAAUAAAAAUAAUAAAAAAUUAUAAUUUCUAGUUUUUCGGAUCAUCUUAGUACAACGUUUUUUGUGGCAUAUAUACAUGUCCAUAUUUAAUGUUAUUGAAGAGAAAUUAGUAAAUGCUAAUUUGGUAGCUAAUCUAUUGCUAGUUGAUUUUAUCCACAUAUUUAAUCAUUCAACGUUGCGUAUAUACGCUAAAUGGUAUUUUAAGGUGAUGACAUAUCGUAACAAAAAUUAAAAUAAAUGUUUGGAAUAAAAUUAAAAAAAAAAACUAACCAAUCAUUUUAAAACUGUUUUUCCGGAUAAUUCUAAAAAUAGUUUUCAAAGACUUAUAUAUAUGUAUAUGUUCACAUUUAAGGUUUUCUACAAUAAACACACAAAAUAUUUAUUUACAGAGAAGAGUUACAAUGUCAGCAUCUAAAUUUGCUAUAUUUUGUAUUGUUCUAGUGUUUCUUGCUAGUUGUCAUGAAUGUGCCGACCUCAACAGAGGGCCCAAACCAACAUGCUCUAAAACACCAAAGAAUGUUUGGUGUUGCAGCAACAAUUCACACUGUCGGGAAACCAAAGCGCUAUGUGAGAAGAUUUGUUGGGUCCGCGGUUGAAUUUUUCUGAAGAGAACUUCUAUAAUUAUUUAUUCCAAAUAUUUUUGUACUUCCAUUAGUCUAAAUUCGAAUAAUAAAUAGUAA